rnacentral:rRNA from 1 species
AUGAACGCUGGCGGCGUGCCUAAUACAUGCAAGUCGAGCGAACAGACGAGGAGCUUGCUCCUCUGACGUUAGCGGCGGACGGGUGAGUAACACGUGGAUAACCUACCUAUAAGACUGGGAUAACUUCGGGAAACCGGAGCUAAUACCGGAUAAUAUAUUGAACCGCAUGGUUCAAUAGUGAAAGACGGUUUUGCUGUCACUUAUAGAUGGAUCCGCGCCGCAUUAGCUAGUUGGUAAGGUAACGGCUUAUCAAGGCAACGAUGCGUAGCCGACCUGAGAGGGUGAUCGGCCACACUGGAACUGAGACACGGUCCAGACUCCUACGGGAGGCAGCAGUAGGGAAUCUUCCGCAAUGGGCGAAAGCUUGACGGAGCAACGCCGCGUGAGUGAUGAAGGUCUUCGGAUCGUAAAACUCUGUUAUUAGGGAAGAACAAAUGUGUAAGUAACUAUGCACGUCUUGACGGUACCUAAUCAGAAAGCCACGGCUAACUACGUG